GCGGUGGUGGACGACGGGCGGCGCGCCGUCGACGCCGGCGCGGCCGGGCACGUGUUCAACCUCGGCCACGGGG
rnacentral:tRNA from 1 species